rnacentral:rRNA from 1 species
GACAGAGGGUGCAAACGUUGUUCGGAAUUACUGGGCGUAAAGCGCGUGUAGGCGGCCCUGCAAGUCGGAUGUGAAAUCCCACGGCUCAACCGUGGAAGUGCAUUCGAAACUGCAGGGCUAGAGUCCUGGAGAGGAAGGUGGAAUGCUUGGUGUAGAGGUGAAAUUCGUAGAUAUCAAGCGGAACACCAAUGGCGAAGGCAGCUCGCUGGGACGGUACUGACGCUGAGACGCGAAAGCGUGGGGAGCAAACAGG